UGGGGAAUAUUGGACAGUGGGCGAAAGCCUGAUCCAGCCAUGCCGCGUGAGUGACGAAGGCCUUAGGGUUGUAAAGCUCUUUUGUCCGGGAAGAUAAUGACGGUACCGGAAGAAUAAGCCCCGGCUAACUUCGUGCCAGCAGCCGCGGUAAUACGAAGGGGGCUAGCGUUGUUCGGAUUUACUGGGCGUAAAGCGCACGUAGGCGGAUCUUUAAGUCAGAGGUGAAAUCCCAAGGCUCAACCUUGGAACUGCCUUUGAUACUGGGGAUCUCGAGUUCGGGAGAGGUGAGUGGAACUGCGAGUGUAGAGGUGAAAUUCGUAGAUAUUCGCAAGAACACCAGUGGCGAAGGCGGCUCACUGGCCCGAUACUGACGCUGAGGUGCGAAAGCGUGGGGAGCAAACAG
rnacentral:rRNA from 1 species